rnacentral:rRNA from 1 species
UACGGAGGGUGCGAGCGUUAUCCGGAAUCACUGGGUUUAAAGGGUGCGCAGGCGGCUUGAUAAGUCAGAGGUGAAAUCUCACGGCUCAACCGUGGAACUGCCCCUGAUACUGUCAGGCUUGAAUGGGCGCGAGGCAGGCGGAAUGUGGCAUGUAGCGGUGAAAUGCUUAGAUAUGCCAUAGAACACCGAUUGCGAAGGCAGCCUGCCAGAGCCUUUAUUGACGCUGAGGCACGAAAGCGUGGGGAGCGAACAGG